AAAACCCUGCUGUGCACGUGUCGCUUUAUAUUUUGAACCAACACUUUUAUAAAGGGAGUUUACGUCGAAUGAGGAAUCAAUGCCUUGGUUGAGGACUGACGAAUCAUGAGAAAAGGACACCCACCUGCACCUAUGCAGACUCAAAAUGCAGCAUGAAACGACAUGGUGGGGUCUUU
rnacentral:other from 1 species